CAUAAACCUACCUUCUGUCUCUAUAGAUUUGCCUACUCAGGACAUUCAUGUGAAUGUGGCCUUUGCUUUUACUCAGCAAGAUAUUUUCAUGGUUCCUGUGUGUUGCAGCAUGCAUUGGAGUUUCAUUCCUUCUAAUGGCUGAAUAAUCUCUUGUAUGGAUGCACCACACCUUAUUUAUCCAUUCAUCCGUUGCUGGACAUUUGGGUGGUUUCUACUUUUUGGCUACUCUGAAAAUGCUGCUGUGAAC
rnacentral:lncRNA from 1 species